rnacentral:tRNA from 1 species
GCCCCUGUAGCUCAAUGGACAGAGCAGCAGCCUUCUAAGCUGUUGGUUGUGAGUUCGAAUCUCGCCAGGGGCG